rnacentral:sRNA from 1 species
GUGCAGUUACUGCCAUCACGGCGGCCGCGGUGGCGUCCUGGAGCCCUUCUCAGGUGAGCUGGAGCUGCCCGGCUCGGCAGCGGGAAGUGCUGAAGCUGCUGAAAGAUGGCAGAAGAAGUGGUGGUAGUAGCCAAAUUUGAUUAUGUAGCCCAACAAGAACAAGAGUUGGACAUCAAGAAGAAUGAGAGAUUAUGGCUUCUGGAUGAUUCUAAGUCCUGGUGGCGAGUUCGAAAUUCCAUGAAUAAAACAGGUUUUGUGCCUUCUAACUAUGUGGAAAGGAAAAACAGUGCUCGGAAAGCGUCUAUUGUAAAAAACCUAAAGGAUACCUUAGGUAAGAUUUUUUUUAUUAAAAGAAAAUCAACUUUGUUUUAAAUGAAACCUGCAACUUAGUUCUUUGUACAUAAUUCUGGCAGCAGUGUGCAUAAUUGACUUGAAAAGGCAAGGGCUAGGUAAGUUUGACUCAUAGCAGGUGGUCAACCCAGAAGACCAAUGAAGGUCAUAAGCGUUAACAUGCAGUUUCUGUAAAUCUAGGCCCACGCUCCAAGUCAAGGCAGAGUGGUGCCAAUGAGUAGAACU